rnacentral:lncRNA from 1 species
GACCAUUUGGGUAAACAUCACUAUAAAUCGUAGAGAUCACCCCUUUAUUUCUCUAUCUACUAAAAAAACAAAUCAAUCAAAAGAAAAAAGAAAAAGAAAAAUUAUUCUCCCCAAUAAAAAAGCAAAAAUCAUCAAAUCUCACAAAGCAAAAAUCAUCAAAUCCAACUAUGCAUCCUCUCAUUGAAGGUGAUUAUCACCUCCAAAGAAAAAAAAAAUCUAGUGAGCUAUCUAUCUA